rnacentral:lncRNA from 1 species
AAAUAAUCACAGGCCUGCAUCUCUCCAUUCUUUUAUUUUGAGUUUUCAGAUUCAUGUUAUGUGUAUUCCAGGUUGAUGGAUUUUAGGCUGAAUUUAGAUUACUGAAGUGUAGACAUCUUCAUCCUGACAGCUGGAAGGCUUGGACUCCCUGUCAGGUCAACAAAGAAAAAUAGACAAUUCUAGGAUGUGAUUCAUCUCAUCCCAGAGCAGAUAUCUAAAAUAAGUCAUAUGAAUCAAGUCUUAAAACUUGUUUCCUUCUUCUUGUUAUAAUGGGAGCCUGGAGCAGCUAGUUCAGAUAUACACAUCCCAAUAUUUGCUUCAGUAAAUGCUACUUUUAAAAAGGUUCCCUAUGUCUGCAAAGAAGACUGAGACAUCUCCAAAGGACAGCUUAUCCCUUAAGACCAGUGAUUAAGACUGCUGGGAAAAAUUAACCACUGGAGGUAGACUGUACUGAGUAAAGUGUAUUAGUAGGUGACAGAACAUAUGUCACACAAUAUCUAAGAAAGCCUCUGUCUAGAAGACUACAACCUAAUAAAGAGUAUCUGGAAGCAAUAAUAAGUACAAAAGGAAACAAAAGUUGAGAACCACUUUGAUGUUACUACGAGCAUGUCUCUGGGAUGAGUUUAUGGAAAAGACCCUGUCUCUUGUGCAGCAGAUGAACCUGAAUUCCUCUGCAAGGCUGUGAGGUUCAGCCCAUCCCUGUUUUCAGAAGGCUGGCCAUCUGGAAGUGCUUUACAGCUUUCAUUAAUAGAGAGAUUUAUUGAAUGCAGUAAUGUAAAACGCAAAUAACU